UACGGAGGGUGCAAGCGUUAUCCGGAAUCACUGGGUUUAAAGGGUGCGUAGGCGGUGGGAUAAGUCAGUCGUGAAAUACUUCGGCUCAACCGAUAGAACUGCGAUUGAUACUGUUUCACUUGAAUCAGGUUGAGGCGGGCGGAAUGUGGCAUGUAGCGGUGAAAUGCUUAGAUAUGCCAUAGAACACCGAUUGCGAAGGCAGCUCGCUGGGCCUGUAUUGACGCUGAGGCACGAAAGCGUGGGGAGCAAACAGG
rnacentral:rRNA from 1 species